GGGAAUGCGAGCCGUCCGGGAUGCGAGCCGUCCGGGAUGCGAGCUGAGGCUGAGUUCGUCUGAGUUAGGAUCGGACUGUGAUCGUCUGUAGGCUGAGUUGAGACGGAUCGCGAGCUGGCUGCUAUCGGAUCAGGAACGCCUAGGACCGGGAUGCAAGAGACGCGAUCGAGGGUUAGGGUUUGUCGGGUCGCGGCUAGGGUUAGGGUUUUUCGAUUUUGGUUUUUGUUCAGAAUGUUUAGAGUUUCGUGCUGAUAACGUGUUAUAAAAGUAAUGGAAAAGU
rnacentral:lncRNA from 1 species